CGUGAAGGGGUGCCUUAAAAACAACGGGCUGAGAUCAUACCCUAUAACCUGAUCCGGGUAAUGCCGGCGUAGGUAGAAAGAUAAA
rnacentral:ncRNA from 1 species